UUAUGCUGUGGUUCUACUCAUCAUAAAAGGUGCUGGUAAUUAACUUUAAAGCCUUCAGUGGUCUGGGACCUGGCUACCUUUGAGUUGUAUUUCAUUUCAUCCCCUCUGCAGAGUUAUGACUGAGUGAACUUGAUCUCAGAUUCUGUUCCCAACUCUGAGUGUUGCAGAAUUAGUUCCAGUUGCCUGCCUUCCCUUUGAUAUUCACUUGACUCAGAGAAGAGGCCAGAUCUACUUUUUCACUCAUCUGGGGGGAUUAAAAAACCACUACUCUAUUCCAGAAGAUUCCUGACGCUUUUCCUUGGAUUAUUUGCAUUUCUGUCAACGGCCCUGUAAUAUCUUGGGGUAGCACUGCAGUUCUCCUGAGGAGUGAAUGUCCAUCAGCAGCAGAAAGUGCACUUGCUCCCUGAAAGGGCACCGGGAUCCUUGGAACAGGCUCCAUGUUAGCGCUGGCAAAAGGAUGAAUGCAGCAUUCCGUGAGGAAUAUUUUUCUGGAGAGUGGACUAAAUGAUGAAUGGUGGUCUGGGCAAGCUUCGGACUAAUUGGAGCAAGGAGAAUGGAACUUAGUGUCUGGGAUGUCUUUCUCUGAGCUCUUACCAUUAGUGCACAUCAGCAAUAAUUUGUAGGACUCUUCUUUCUGAAAGGGAGAACUGACAAAAUUGAUACAGAGCCAUAGUCCUAUGGUUCCUGCAGUUUUAGCCAAGUUUCUGACAUAAGGACUUUCAUUCAGGGAACCAGACAGUGUCAAAUGGAAUACAAGAUGGGGGAUGGAUGUCUAGAAUAAAACAGAAGCCCAUUGA
rnacentral:lncRNA from 1 species